rnacentral:lncRNA from 1 species
UUCAAAUUAGCGGUUUGAUUUAUUUUUUUUUCUCACCAAACAAAUGUCCUAAUCAAUGCACUGUGGAAUAUUCCACUGGGAGUUUAAUUUCAUCUGUACUUUCGGAGGGGAGAAAAACAUGGUUGCAGUGCAAGGUGGGAAAAUCAAUUAAAUCUUGAUUUUCAUGAGACAGCAACAGCUGUUUCUCAUUCGGAUCUAGCCCUCCGCACUAUAAGCAAUGGAAUACUUUGGUUCAGAGUUGUAUGGUUUUGAUGUAGGGGGAGAAUCAAGAGAAUAAAAGUGCGGUGGAAGCCGGCCACACUUCUUUCUGUCUUUCCCAGACUGAUGCUCAGGUGAAUGAGGCAAAUACGCAGCAGGAUGCGUAGUGCAUGUCACCUGUAUCUUCAUACACAACCAGAGAAACUUCUUAAAGGGCUAUUUUUGCAGAUGAAAAGAUCUGUGUAA